UACUGUUAUUAAGGACAAUGAGAAACAAAGAAGUACAAAACUUUACUCCAUUGUUAUAUAUAAACUUUACUAAUGUUUAAAAUGUUCUAAUAUUACAGAUUCAUAUCGCAACGAAGUACAAAACUUUGAAGCAGAUAUCAAAGAAUGUGAGAUGCAGUUAACGUAACAAACAACCAUGAUCUGAUCAAUAUUGCUAUGAUCUUGGUUGACUAAUAGGGAACAUUAUAUGUUUAUAAUUCUUUCUUCGGCCUUAUAUGGUUAAACAUCAAGGGGAAAUUGAUCACAUCUUAUUGUAGAUGAGAGUUAAUGCUGGGAAUAUUACAAUUCUGUAUUGGCAAAAAGCUGUGAAUUUUGAUCAAACAAAUUUUUUUCAGACUCUACAGUAUGUUACUUCCCAGUCAGCAUGACGGUCUAAAUCUGAUAAGAACAUGUUGGUUUAUCUCUCUUCUAUGGAUUGCCCUUAACUUCUGUGUUGUUCUGGGCCAUAUAUAUGAACUGCUCAGUGGAAAAUCGAAAGGUUUCAAAUGAGAGGAUAAAAGAGUUUACAAAUAUUACAUCAGAAGCAGCUUGGGAAAUUAAAGACUGCAUUUCCAUAUAUAUCAACUGCUCAGUGGAAAAUCGAAUGAUUUUUGUUGAGAGGAUAAAGGACUUUACAAUAUUGACCUUAGAGACUCCAGGGGACUCAUUAACUGCCAGUCUGUACUUGCUGUCAUCCUAACAAAAACAGCAGUUUCAGCCCAUUUUACUUAUUAUUGAAAAUAAACCAAUGACUUACUGCUUACUAUUCAAGGGGAGACAGAGCGCUAAAAAAAAGAAAGCAUUAUCACUAUUUCAAACUGUUUUCCAUCCUACCUGAUCUACUGUUUUUGAAUAGCGAUUAAAAUUGUAAGACUUUGAAAUCUGAAAGUGUAAUAUAUUUUUGUUGUUGUAACUCUAUGGUUGCUGGUAGGUGAAUUUUCAUUUAUAAAACAAUGAAUGUAAUUACUAUUAAAUUGACAGAAAUUGUUUGUAAUUCAUUUAGUAGAUCAUGUUUGGUUGGAGCACACCUCUUUUUCUUUGAGUUUCAUACUGUAGAAUACUUUCAAAGAUUGUAUGUGCAGCAGCCAAUGUGGCAUGACCACAAAACUG